rnacentral:lncRNA from 1 species
GGCGGGGCUGGGCGCUUCUCACCUUGGCGCCCGUUUGUGAGGGAGCUCCGCCGGUGCCUGCUCGGCUGCUGUCAGUGUGCCUUCGGCCUCGUGUUGAGCUUUGUGCUUAGGAACGGGGAAACCUCGCUCAGAUGCUCAAUGCCGUCCUUCUCCCUUGCCCCUGAACUACAGCUCAGAGCUAACAAAACUGUAUUCCUGGAUGAAAUUUUAACAGAUCCCCAGCAUAAAGUUUCAGCUCGGGGCAAUGUGGAGGUGCCGCAGAUAAACAAGAAGAACAAUUCUGCGUAUUGAACUCUCAAACGAAAGUUUACUUUCCCUCUUCUCCCUGUCUACCUGUGCUCUGAGGCAACAAACACUGCUUCAGUGGCAAGAAAAAGGAGCAGAACAGAACUGAACAUUUCCGUGCUUUCAGAAGGAAGAAAAAAAGUCAGGAGUUUAUCUUUCAAGGAUGACUGCUCUUCAAGUACACCAGGUGGGAUCCAAUCAUGCGCUGCAUCUGAAGUGCACUUGAGAUAAAUUCAGGAUAGGUUCAUGCUUGGCCUCAGCUCUCACCAGAUCUGUAAGUAUUUAGCUAAAGUCAGAGUUUAGAUACAUCUCAGCUACCUGCA